rnacentral:rRNA from 1 species
GAUGAACGCUGGCGGCGUGCCUAAUACAUGCAAGUCGAGCGAACAGACGAGGAGCUUGCUCCUCUGACGUUAGCGGCGGACGGGUGAGUAACACGUGGAUAACCUACCUAUAAGUCUGGGAUAACUUCGGGAAACCGGAGCUAAUACCGGAUAAUAUAUUGAACCGCAUGGUUCAAUAGUGAAAUACGGUUUUUCUGUCACUUAUAGAUGGAUCCGCGCCGCAUUAGCUAGUUGGUAGGGUAACGGCUUACCAAGGCAACGAUGCGUAGCCGACGUGAGGGGGUGGUCGGCCACACGGGAACUGAGACACGGUCCAGACUCCUACGGGAGGCAGCAGUAGGGAAUCGUCCGCAAUGGGCGAAAGCUUGACGGAGCAACGCCGCGUGAGUGAUGAAGGUCUUCGGAUCGUAAAACUCUGUUAUUAGGGAAGAACAAAUGUGUAAGUAACUAUGCACGUCUUGACGGUACCUAAUCAGAAAGCAACGGCUAACUACGUG